rnacentral:rRNA from 1 species
ACAGAGGGUGCAAGCGUUAUUCGGAAUUACUGGGCGUAAAGCGCAUGUAGGCGGUUCGGUAAGUCUGGUGUGAAAGCCCUCGACUCAAUCGGGGAAGUGCAUCGGAUACUGCCGGACUGGAGUACAGGAGAGGAGAACGGAAUUCCUGGUGUAGAGGUGGAAUUCGUAGAUAUCAGGAGGAACAACGGCGGCGAAGGCGGUUCUCUGGACUGUAACUGACGCUGAGAUGCGAAAGCGUGGGGAGCAAACAG